rnacentral:rRNA from 1 species
AACGAACGCUGGCGGCAUGCCUAACACAUGCAAGUCGAACGAGACCUUCGGGUCUAGUGGCGCACGGGUGCGUAACGCGUGGGAAUCUGCCCUUGGGUUCGGAAUAACAGCGAGAAAUUGCUGCUAAUACCGGAUGAUGACGUAAGUCCAAAGAUUUAUCGCCCAAGGAUGAGCCCGCGUAGGAUUAGCUAGUUGGUGAGGUAAAGGCUCACCAAGGCGACGAUCCUUAGCUGGUCUGAGAGGAUGAUCAGCCACACUGGGACUGAGACACGGCCCAGACUCCUACGGGAGGCAGCAGUGGGGAAUCUUGGACAAUGGGCGCAAGCCUGAUCCAGCCAUGCCGCGUGAGUGAAGAAGGCCUUAGGGUUGUAAAACUCUUUCGCCGGAGAAGAUAAUGACGGUAUCCGGAGAAGAAGCCCCGGCUAACUUCGUGCCAGCAGCCGCGGUAAU